CAUGCAGGCUGGUGCCUCCUCUGCCUGCCCCAUGCUGCCUUCCAGCCCCUCCUCCCUCCACCCAGAUCCUCCACAGCCCCCGUCUCCUCUGUUCUGCUGAUGCCCACACUGUACCCCAGGGACACCUGCCCCAGCAUAGCUGCCUCCUGGUGCACACCCACCUUGUCCAAGAGAACACUCUCCCUCGCCCAGGGGGGCCUCUUUUCAUCCAGUGAGGCCAUGAUGUCCCCAGUGCCAAAGCUGGACCUGGGUCCAGACCUCCCUGCCCCUCCCUCCAGUCCAUUCCAUCUGUGACAGUUUCCCUGCUGCCCCCGCUGUCCCUGUGAUCUUCCUGUGGGUCCCCAGGUGUGCUCCAUGCAGAGGCCAGGCUGAGCUUUCACAAGUGACACCAUCAGACCUGCCAGCCCUUGUUUUCCACCCUUGGAGGCUCUCUUUCCAUGAUGGUGGCCACCAAGUCCCUUAGCCCUUCCUGUCACCCUGGUGCUGUGUUCUUCCUGCUGCCUCUGAGCCAGGGGCCUGGUCAGCAACAUCCACCCGCCGCCUAGCAGAGUCAUGUCUGUUCCAGUGCCUGACACUUGAGGGUGCUUCCUCUCCAGGGUCUGGGACUCUCAGAGAGCUCACCCCCGCCCUCUCCUGGCUGAUGCCCAGAACUCUGUGACCCUGUGCAGGCACUGAUGUCCCUGUUUACAGCAGAACAAAUGGGAAGGGAGUGGCCUGUGGUCCCUUGGCCAGUGUGUGGGGUCCCACUUCUGUACAGGCCCCUCUGAGGGUCCCGCCCUUUGUGUGCCACACCCAGCACCUCCACCCUGGCAUGAGCUCACCCUCCCAGAGUCCCUCCAGCUUCCUUAUUCUGUCCUCUGAAUUGGACCAGAGGAGCUGGGCCUUGAAGAUUCACUUCUGCCCCCCCCAGGGACAGAACUGUCAGGAGGGAAGGAGUCUCGCUCUGCCUUGGGAGACAGCCCUGCACCCCUGUCUGGCCGGGGGGCUGCUUGCCCUCCCCCUCUGACCACCUCCUUUUAUCUGCACCCUCCAGCUUUCCCAUGUGCCCCAAACUCAGGGAACCUGGGGGUUAAACAGGGGAGGGGUGUGUCCCUGGGGACUGCAGGGCUGGGUCAUGCAGGGGAGACACCUCCUGGGCCUGGACAGCUCUGCUCUCUCACCACCUCAGCCCCCUGCCAUGCCACUGGGGACUGGCUGGGGUGAUGAGGACUGUCCUGGAGGGGAGACGGGGAUGUACAGCCACGGUAACUGUGGGCCCCAUCUUCCAGUGCCUCCCCUGGGAUGGGGUUCAGGGGGCCGAACUGGGACCCUGAGUGACUUGCUUGUACAGGCCCAGUGGUGCCUUGCAUCUCUUCUUUCUGCCAGUGGCGUGCUGCCCACUCCCUCCCCAGGCCCUGUGGGGAUUGGAGGCCUGGACCUUGUCUCAUGUUUUCAAGGCAUAAAAAGGGGCAGUGUGUGAUCUUCAAUGGGACCUCCACGGGCCUGCUGCCCUGUGGAGAGUGACACUGUGCCUGUGUAAGUGUCCCUGACACCCAGGGCAGGGUCCCAGGACCAGCAGAGCCUGCCCCUUACCUCCCCCCACCUGCAGGAAGCCCCUGCUGGUCCAGGCUGAGAACUUCAUGCUGUUCAUUAAAAACACUGUCACCUUCAGCAGGUUCAACUUCUCCAAGUAAGCAUGGUGGGUCCUGGCUGGCCCUGAUCCUCCUUGUCACCUCCUGGCCCAAAGCCCAGCCCUACCCCCUCUCAGGUCUAAUGCCUUCGAGACCUGGGACAACACCUAUUUCAAGUGCUGCUCCUGUGACCUACACUUCAGCCCCUACUGCCCUGUGUUCCACAUUGGGGACCUCGUGGCCAUGAUUGGAGGGGUCUUUGAGGACCUGGCAUUGCUGGUGGGUCCAUGGGGUACAGGGUUGCAGGAGGGCCCACUUUCUCUCUCCCACUCUAGGGAACUGGGUAUAUUUAGAUGGAUUUCACAGGAAACCAUUGGAAAGUAAGUGGCAGAUAUCCAGACACUCACCCCUCAACAAUGCUGUCCUGAGAAUGAGGACCUUCCCCAGGUGACUGCUGUCCUCUCGUCAUACUCAGGAAAUGUAACAUUGGCAAAUAAAUCUAAUAUUUUAAUUUCCCCAGUAGUGGCAACAAUAGUCCUAAAUCUUUUUAUUUUCCAACCCAAGAUGCACUCAAGGCUGUUGCAUGUAUUGUUGUGUCUUUGAGGCUCCUAAGCAGACCUGUCCCAUUCUUCUGACCCUUCAUGUCACCUUGUCACCCUCAUGCAGACGUGCACACAGCCACCAGGCCUGGAGCUGACAUCAUGUGACGCACACUGGGCCCUCCUGGCCUGGCUUUGCUGGCCCCCCAGCCCUGUGCAACCAUGUGGGGCUGGACCAGCCCAUGCCCUGACCCCCUCCCCUCUGCACUCUCCCUGCCCUCCAUCUCUACCUGGAGCUCCUUCCUGAGCCCUGGGAAUCCAGCCUGAGGGGCUCCCAGCAGGAAGUCUUCCCUGGCUCCUGGGGGAGAUUGAGUGCCCCUCUCUGGACCCCACAGCAGCAGGCCUACCCCACCUCUCCCACCCCCACUGCUGGUGUCUGUUUAUUGACCCUUCUGUCCCCAUCCCCUCAGCAGGCAGGGAGCUUGUGAGAGGCAGGUCCCAGCUUGCUUGUCCCCUGUGUCCCCAGCAGUGACACAGGGCUGUGACCCAGGACUCAGGCUGGUGGUGGAUGGAGUCAGUGGAUGAGUAAGAUGAGGCCUGUGAGGGCCAGGCCCCCCAGGAGUGGGCAGCGCAGUCACUGGACCCUCUCCUGCCCCAGGACAGCCACUCCCCGGGGGGAGGCCUCAGGCAUGGAGGCCCGGAGCCUGCUCAGCUCUGUAGGGUCCGCUUUGACAUUCUGGUCACUGGGCAUGUAGGGGUCAGUCUGCGGAGGAUGUGGGCAGGCAGGGGUGGGGGUGGGAGGGGGUGACAGCCACAGGCAGAGAAACUCAGCCUAGAUCUCUCUCAGGCAGGGAAGUUUGGGCUCAUCCCCACAGCCCUCACUCUGGGCACUGGAGUGGCCCGGCUGGGUGUGGUGAGUCUGGCCAUCGUGGCUCCCUCUGGCUGCCGGCAAGCAUGUGUCCCAUGAGUGUACCCCUGUGCCCCCUGUGCAGACACUGAGUCUCAGUGUGAGGGCUGGGGAGGCGACGGGAUGGCAGGUUGGGGUCCUGGCCAUGGGUCUGCCCUGCCUCUCCCAGAUCACCUUCUGCUGUGACCUGCUGCUGUUGUACAUGGAUGGAGAAGCCCAUUUCUACUGGAGGACCAAGCAUGAGGAGGGGGCUGUGGGCCUGCCUGACCCUGUGCUACACUUUGGAGGUUGGUGGCUGGAGUCUCGACGUACUGUCCUCAUCUGCUGAUUGAAGCAGAGUGAGGAGCUCACUGUACAGCAGAGAUAACCACUUGCUUGAAGAAACUCUGGGGUACUUUUGAAAUUUCAUACUCCAUAUCAUCCUCAAUCAUCAGGGUCAAGCACAAACCAAUCUCCCCCUUAUGCCAGUUUACCAAACCCUGGCCACACUAAAUAAUCGGUCUGACUGUUGGCUAUGUCAACAGCCAGAGAGCACAGAAGAACCUGAACUGGUCUCUGUUCCUGCUGACGUGAACACCUGGUGGAUUAAGCACAGAAGAUGGAUGAACGACAGGGUAUGGUGUCCACGACAAGGAAGACGUCACUCUGUCUCUUCUCCUGCUUCUCCAGGGAUGUGAUGACCUUCAGGAAAAAACCUCUGCAGAUAUCUGUCACCAGGCGAAGAGAGAAAAGUAUACUCUGUAGUCUCAAGGACCACAACUCCUGAUGGUUAACACCUCAAGACCCCCCUUUUUCAGCCCAUUUGCCCUAUAUAAAGGCUUCAAAACUUUGUAGUUUUAAAAUAGUUCUUUAGGACAUGGAUCCCUUAUAUUCCCCCUUGCUGGCAAGCUGUAAUAAAAAGACCUUUUCUCUUUUA